AGCAGCCGCGGUAAUUCCAGCUCCAAUAGCGUAUAUUAAAGUUGUUGCAGUUAAAAAGCUCGUAGUUGAAUUUCGGGGUUCUACCGUUGGUCGGGCUUUGUCUGUACUGGCGUGUAGAAUUUCUACCUUCUGGUGAACCAUCAUGUUAUUAAUUUAACGUGGUGGGAAACCAGGACCUUUACCUUGAAAAAAUUAGAGUGUUCAAAGCAGGCUUAUGUCUGAAUACAUUAGCAUGGAAUAAUAGAAUAGGACGGUGGUCCUGUUUUGUUGGUUUCUGAAUCACCGUAAUGAUUAAUAGGGAUAGUUGGGGGCAUUAGUAUUCAAUUGUCAGAGGUGAAAUUCUUGGAUUUAU
rnacentral:rRNA from 1 species